UACUAGAGAAUAGCCAAGAGAAAUUUUGAUUAAUGCUCUAUACUCUUUUUAACUCACAUGAGUUUUUAAGAAAAGCUCCGGCGGUAAAAGAUGGGCAUGCGUCCUAUUAGCUUGUAGGUGAGGUAACGGCUCACCUAAGCUCCGAUAGGUAGGGGUCCUGAGAGGGAGAUCCCCCACACUGGUACUGAGACACGGACCAGACUUCUACGGAAGGCAGCAGUAAGGAAUAUUGGACAAUGGAGGAAACUCUGAUCCAGCGAUGCCGCGUGAAGGAAGACGGCCCUAUGGGUUGUAAACUUCUUUUAUACAGGAAGAAACCUUUCCACGUGUGGAAAGCUGACGGUACUGUAAGAAUAAGGAUCGG
rnacentral:rRNA from 1 species